GAUGAAGAACGUAGCGAAAUGCGAUAAGUAAUGUGAAUUGCAGAAUUCAGUGAAUCAUCGAAUCUUUGAACGCACAUUGCGCCCAUUAGUAUUCUAGUGGGCAUGCCUGUUCGAGCGUCAUUUCAACCCUUAAGCCUAGCUUAGUAUUGGGAAUCGACUUUACUGUCGUUCCUCAAAUUCAACGGCGGAUUUAUAGCAAUUUCUGAACGUAGUAAUUUUUUUCCUCGUUUUUGAAAUACUAUAAACCUCAGCCGCUAAACCCCCAAUUUUUCUAUGGUUGACCUCGGAUCAGGUAGGAAUACCCGCUGAACUUAAGCAUAUCAAUAAGCGGAGGA
rnacentral:misc_RNA from 1 species